CCUACGGGGGGCAGCAGUGGGGAAUAUUGCACAAUGGAGGGAACUCUGAUGCAGCGACGCCGCGUGAGUGAAGAAGUAAUUCGUUAUGUAAAGCUCUAUCAGCAGGGAAGAAAGUGACGGUACCUGAAAAAGAAGCUCCGGCUAAAUACGUGCCAGCAGCCGCGGUAAUACGUAUGGAGCAAGCGUUAUCCGGAUUUACUGGGUGUAAAGGGAGAGUAGGUGGCAGAGCAAGUCCGAAGUGAAAACCCAAAGCUCAACUAUGGGAAUGCUUUAGAAACUGCUCAGCUAGAGUGCAGGAGAGGCAA
rnacentral:rRNA from 1 species